GAUGAACGCUAGCGGGAGGCCUAACACAUGCAAGCCGAGCGGUAUUUCUUCUUCGGGAGAGAGAGAGCGGCGUACGGGUGCGGAACACGUGUGCAACCUGCCUUUAUCUAGAGGAUAGCCUUUCGAAAGGAAGAUUAAUACUCUAUAAUAUAUUAAUUGGCAUCAAUUGAUAUUGAAAACUCCGGUGGAUAGAGAUGGGCACGCGCAAGAUUAGCUAGUUGGUGAGGUAACGGCUCACCAAGGCAAUGAUCUUUAGGGGGCCUGAGAGGGUGAUCCCCCACACUGGUACUGAGACACGGACCAGACUCCUACGGGAGGCAGCAGUGAGGAAUAUUGGUCAAUGGGUGCAAGCCUGAACCAGCCAUCCCGCGGGAAGGAUUAAGGUCCUAUGGAUUGUAAACUUCUUUUGUAUAGGGAUAAACCUACCCUCGUGAGGGUAGCUGAAGGUACUAUACGAAUAAGCACCGGCUAACUCCGUGCCAGCCGCCGCGGUAG
rnacentral:rRNA from 1 species